rnacentral:lncRNA from 1 species
UUUUUAAUUAGGUUAAGAUUUGAUUCUUCCGGCGGCCACUUCAAGAUCGGUUCAUAUCAAGGUAAUUUCAGAUCCAACUUCCAAUUAAAUCGAUUUGCCUGAGUAAAUUUGUUCUGUUCUGGUUUAAUAUUCGAUGGUUUGAUUCAUUUAUUAAUCUGAUCGCCUUAUUACAUAGAUCCAUUUUCUAUUUAAUUUGAUAUGAAAUUCGAGUAGAUUAUCAUUUGAAAUUAUAUACUGCAUAGAAAUGGAGUAUUAACUUGCAAAUAGUUGAUGCCUGUGGCAAAUUAUUGAUUUUUACUGCUUGAAUUCUUAAAUUAGGUUGAUUAUUUCAAUAAUUGAGGUUUGAUUUUGCAGUAGUAAUCUAUGAUUUAGCAAACUUAGGGUUUUUAUAAUUUCAACUAUAGGGGGUUUCCAGAUUAGGAUGUUUUCUAACUUAAGUAAGCUUAAGCUAGCUGAAUAAUAAGUAUUAGCUUCUAAUUAUUUAAUUAAGCAUGAUAAUUCUUUAUACUAACUUGUGUUUCUAUCGUAUCGUCCUCAGGCAUUUUUGCAGUCGAGAUCAACGUCGAAGCGUUUGCAAGUUCUUUGUAGAUAUUAAAGACAUUGACUCCUUGGCAAGUCGGGCCCACACAUAUGACAUAAACUGUCCGAUGUAAUUGGCAAAGUCUUCGAUUUGUUGCCUCUUGCGACAUAUUCUUUCGGCUUUUAGUGACAAGCACUCUGGUUCCCACGUGUCUUCGUCGGGACCUUUCGAACAUAUUUUUGUAAACUUUAUGUCGGAAUAUGUUUAUGGUGCUGAAGAAGACAUUUGGGAAUCUGUGCGCUUGUUGGUAAAAGCUCAAGAGUGUGUCUCUAUUGGCAACAAAUAAGAGAUUUUGUUUGCGGGUUUGGCUUGCCAAGGCGUAAGUGACUUAAAAUCUAACAUUAUUCAUCGCCGCAAUCGUGUUUGCUCCCUUAUUAUUUACCAUCUAAUGAAUUCCGAAGUUGGAUCUGCCUGGUGUUGAAUAGCAUAUCCUUCUAUUAAUGAUAUUGGUUAUGUUUCGAUUAGACUAUAUAAAUGUAAUUUUUGAGUUCAGAUUGCUUAUAGGUUGAUUCAUUUAUAAAUUAAUUUGAUGAGAAAUUUUGAGUCGAAUGCAGUUUGUAUUUGACGAAAGCCGGUUAAGUCGAGCUGGCCAAUGAGACUGGGUUAGAUGUUUGAUGAGGGCUGCUACAUCUAUUGUCAUGUAAGUUUUCAUAUAUAUAUAUAUAUAUAUAUAUAUAUAUAUAUAUAUAUAUAUAUAUAUAUAUAUAUAUAUAUAUAUAUAUAUAUAUAUAUAUAUAUAUAUAUAUAUUCUUGCAAAAGCCUAAUUAUGUGUUGUAUAUUUUAUGAUUUUUAGUUGAUCUAACUAGUUAAUAAAUAGCCGGUUCAGUCGAUAGAUGAAAUGCUGAGUCGAGAUGCAAGUCUGUAUCCAAUCGGUUAUCCAAGGAAUGCAUCAAAAUCAACCCGGAAGAUAUGCAAAGUCAAAUUCGAUGAUGCGUAUGCUCGACUUCAUUAUCAUGUAUGCGUGUGUUUGUGCUGGGUUUGUAAAACCAGAUAUGGCUCA